rnacentral:rRNA from 1 species
UACGGAGGGUGCAAGCGUUGUUCGGAAUUACUGGGCGUAAAGCGCGUGUAGGCGGCCUGGCAAGUCAGACGUGAAAGCCCUCGGCUUAACCGGGGAAGUGCGCCUGAAACUGCCAGGCUUGAGUACGGGAGAGGGAGGCGGAAUUCCCAGUGUAGAGGUGAAAUUCGUAGAUAUUGGGAGGAACACCGGUGGCGAAAGCGGCCUCCUGGACCGAUACCGACGCUGAGACGCGAGAGCGUGGGUAGCAAACAGG